AAUUACCUCCAGCAAAUUUACCAUUGGCAGAUCAGAUUUGCACUAGGCGGGGGAGGCAUGAUCUUCAACCGUUUGGACCUCGCAGGGAUAUUGAGAAUCCGGGUCUAAGAAUCCCUGGUGGCUUACCCAGGGGUGCAGUACCACCUGGUGCACGAUUUGAUCCUUUUGGGCCUCCCGGUGUCGGACCACUAGGAGGUCGAAGACCCCCGCCUCCAGAUGCUGACCACCUUCCACCACCUGGAUUUAAUGAUAAUAUGUUUAUGUAGCCAAAAAGCCUUCUGUGCAAAAUGCCUCUAAGAAAAUGGUAUUGGGUUGAAUUCAUUUAAUAAACUGCAUAUAGCAAUA